UACAGAGGGUGCAAGCGUUGCUCGGAAUUACUGGGCGUAAAGCGUGAGUAGGCGGUCUGUCAAGUGGGGUGUGAAAGCCCUGGGCUCAACCCAGGAACUGCGCUCCAAACUGUCAGACUUGAGUGCCGGAGAGGGUGGUGGAAUUCCCGGUGUAGAGGUGAAAUUCGUAGAUAUCGGGAGGAACACCAGUGGCGAAGGCGGCCACCUGGACGGACACUGACGCUGAGUCACGAAAGCGUGGGGAGCAAACAGGAUUAGAA
rnacentral:rRNA from 1 species